CCGUGGUAAUUCUAGAGCUAAUACAUGCUGAAAAUCCCGACUUCGGAAGGGAUGUGUUUAUUAGAUAAAAAACCAAUGCCCUUUCGGGGCUUUUUGGUGAUUCAUGAUAACUUUACGGAUCGCAUAGCCUUGCGCUGGCGACGGGUUCAUUCAAAUUUCUGCCCUAUCAACUUUCGAUGGUAAGGUAUUGGCUUACCAUGGUUUCAACGGGUAACGGGGAAUUAGGGUUCGAUUCCGGAGAGGGAGCCUGAGAAACGGCUACCACAUCCAAGGAAGGCAGCAGGCGCGCAAAUUACCCAAUCCCGACACGGGGAGGUAGUGACAAUAAAUACUGAUACAGGGCUCUCCCUGGGUCUUGUAAUUGGAAUGAGUACAAUUUAAACCUCUUAACGAGGAACAAUUGGAGGGCAAGUCUGGUGCCAGCAGCCGCGGUAAUUCCAGCUCCAAUAGCGUAUAUUAAAGUUGUUGCAGUUAAAAAGCUCGUAGUUGAAACUUGGGCCUGGCUGGCGGGUCCGCCUCACCGCGUGCACUCGUCCGGCCGGGCCUUCCUUCUGAAGAACCUCAUGCCCUUCACUGGGCGUGCUGGGGAAUCAGGACUUUUACUUUGAAAAAAUUAGAGUGUUCAAAGCAGGCCUUUGCUCGAAUACGUUAGCAUGGAAUAAUAAAAUAGGGCGUGCGUUUCUAUUUUGUUGGUUUCUAGAGACGCCGCAAUGAUUAACAGGAACAGUCGGGGGCAUCAGUAUUCCGUUGUCAGAGGUGAAAUUCUUGGAUUUACGGAAGACUAACUACUGCGAAAGCAUUUGCCAAGGAUGUUUUCAUUAAUCAGUGAACGAAAGUUAGGGGAUCGAAGACGAUCAGAUACCGUCGUAGUCUUAACCGUAAACUAUGCCGACUAGGGAUCGGGCGAUGUCUUUUUUCUGACUCGCUCGGCACCUUACGAGAAAUCAAAG
rnacentral:rRNA from 1 species